AGAAAUUCUACAUUUCUGGUUGCUACAAUUCAGAGGCAAGCUUUUCAAAGCAACAAGGAAACAAUUUGCCUGUGGAUGGAAAUGAUGUUUUUAACAUGUUAAAAACUAUUUCCACCCAACUACAAGAAUUGUCUUCAAGAGUUGAUCAUAUGGAAAGGAAGAUGGACAGCUUUUUGAAAGAAAAUAAAUGGCCCAACAAAAAACCGUCCGUAAAUGUAAGGUGCUAAUUCGAAAAGUUCACCAAUCAGUAUGCCGACUGACUGGCGAAGAAAUCGACAACACACAAACAGAAAUUGCUUCCACCCUACCAUUAACAACACUAGCUGCAGCUUUGGAAAUGGAAGAAAAACUUAAAUGCGAAGAAUUUGCUACAGCAACGGUUGAAACAGUUUGUUUUAAGGAUGAAAGGCAGUUCCGAUAGUGUAUGUGAUGUGUUGCGGCAUCUGUACACUGACGAAUUCCUGAUUUUGUGUAACUGGGACGGUAGGGGAGGCAAGCAACCCAUAUCAAAGUUUCUGUUGUCCAACAUAU